GUUUAGGCUACAUGUUGUUCAUGCUACAUGUUGCUCAAGCUACAUGUUGUUCAGGCUACAUGUUGUUCAGGCUACAUGUUGUUCAGGCUACAUGUUGUUUAGGCUACAGGAUGUUUAAUAGCAUACGGCAUGUUGUUCAGGCUACAUGUUGUUCAGGCUACAUGUUGUUUAGGCUACAGGAUGUUUAAUAGCAUACGGCAUGUUGUUCAGGCUACAUGUUGUUCAGGCUACAUGUUGUUUAGGUUACAGGAUGUUUAAUAGCAUACGACAUGUUGUUCAGGCUACAUGUUGUUCAGGCUACAUGUUGUUCAGGCUACAUGUUGUUUAGGCUACAGGAUGUUUAAUAGCAUACGACAUGUUGUUCAAGCUACAUGUUGUUCAGGCUACAUGUUGUUCAGGCUACAUGUUGUUCAGGCUACAUGUUGUUCAGGCUACAUGUUGUUUAGGCUACAGGAUGUUUAAUAGCAUACGGCAUGUUGUUCAGGCUACAUGUUGUUCAGGCUACAUGUUGUUUAUGCUCCAGGAUGUUUAAUAGCCUAUGACAUGUUUUUCAGGCUACAUGUUGUUUAAUAGCCUACGACAUGUUUUUCAGGCUACACGUUGUUCAGGCUAGGACCAGCAGUGAACUGUAUUGUCCUUAACAAACAUGCUUGAAGCGAGAGGGGGACCACCACCUCUUCAUCUGAGUCAUUAGAUAGUGGGUUCAUUGGAAUUGAAAUAAAAUAAAGCGUUAGACAUUUUGACCAAGUUAAAACAAUAGGACUUAAAUCUCUGUAAACAUCUAUUUAGAAUAUGCGUGGUAAUUGGAGUCUUAAAAAUCACUUGGUUGUAGUCAUAUGUUGUCAAAGACAAACUUAAAGCAGUUUUAAUCUCACCCCUGAAAUCUGUCUCCAGGCAGAUCAUUUUGGAGUAUGGCUUCCCAAUCGCAUCUUUGUAGGAGGACAACAACUUCUGUCCCAUCGGGGGUACAACAGAACAUAGAUACCCCUAGGAAGGACUUCAUUGAAAUCGAG
rnacentral:lncRNA from 1 species